rnacentral:rRNA from 1 species
AACGAACGCUGGCGGCAGGCUUAACACAUGCAAGUCGAACGGAUCCUUCGGGAUUAGUGGCAGACGGGUGAGUAACGCGUGGGAACGUACCCUUUGCUACGGAAUAACUCAGGGAAACUUGAGCUAAUACCGUAUGUGCCCUACGGGGGAAAGAUUUAUCGGCAAAGGAUCGGCCCGCGUUGGAUUAGCUAGUUGGUGGGGUAAUGGCCUACCAAGGCGACGAUCCAUAGCUGGUCUGAGAGGAUGAUCAGCCACACUGGGACUGAGACACGGCCCAGACUCCUACGGGGGGCAGCAGUGGGGAAUAUUGGACAAUGGGCGCAAGCCUGAUCCAGCCAUGCCGCGUGAGUGAUGAAGGUCUUAGGAUUGUAAAGCUCUUUCACCGGUGAAGAUAAUGACGGUAGCCGGAGAAGAAGCCCCGGCUAACUUCGUG